GAUAAACGCUGGCGGCGUGCCUAACACAUGCAAGUCGAACGCCCUUUUGCGCAAGUGAGAAGGAGUGGCGGACGGGUGAGUACCACGUGGGUACCUACCUUGAGGUGAGGAAUACCACCGAGAAAUCGGUGACAAGACCGCAUACGCUCGGGCAACCGAGCAAAGUCAUGCAAAUGACGCCACAAGAUGAGCCUGCGCCUGAUUAGCUGGUUGGUGAGGUAACAGCUCACCAAGGCGACGAUCAGUAGCUGGUCUGAGAGGAUGAUCAGCCACACUGGGAUUGAGAACGGCCCAGACUCCGUACGGGGGCGA
rnacentral:rRNA from 1 species